CCUACGGGAGGCUGCAGUGGGGAAUAUUGGACAAUGGAGGAAACUCUGACGGAGCAACGCCGCGUGAAUGAUGAAGGUCUUCGGAUUGUAAAGUUCUGUUCGAAGUGAAGAAGGAAGGGACGGUACCUUAGGAAUAAUCCUCUGCUAACUACGUGCCAGCAGCCGCGGUAAUACGUGGGAGGCGAGCGUUAUCCGGAAUGACUGGGCGUAAAGGGUGCGUAGGUGGUUUGGCAAGUUAGUAGCGUAACUCCAAGGCUCAACCUUGGAAUUACUACUAAAACUGUUGGACUUGAGUGCAGGAGGGGCAACCGGAAUUCCUAGUGUAGCGGUGGAAUGCGUAGAUAUUAGGAGGAACACCAGUGGCGAAGGCGGGUUGCUAGACUGUAACUGACACUGAGGCACGAAAGCGUGGGGAGCAAACAGGAUUAGAUACCCGUGUAGUC
rnacentral:rRNA from 1 species